rnacentral:lncRNA from 1 species
GCAGCAACAGCGCUGCCAGUGACUCGCGCUGCUGCUGCAGAAACUGGACAAGGAUCGUAGAAUCCUGGCGUGUUUUUGUAACGUCCAUUAGAGUGAUUUAGACGCAGCGUGUAGAAAAGACUCGUUUAUUGACGUGUGACUUUCUGACAGCUCAGUCACCUGUUGACGGCGGCGCACAGCGUCACCUACCCGCCCUACAGCCGGCCCAGCAGGCGGACGGAGAGGCCCGCCCGGGCCCAGUGCCGCACGGAGAGGCGGCGGCGCUGGAGGCCAACACCCCGGCUCGCGGCCUGUAGCUGACGGUGCUGGAGCCGCGAGUCACCGUGGUGGCUGGCCAUGGAGACUUGGAAAAGGCCGGUGAGGUGCGUCUCCAGCUGCGCUGUCAGACGAUCCAGUGGAACGAGCAGCAGCCCAUAUACCCUCCCGGCUGUGCCGGUGUGUCUCCCAGCUUGAGCGGCGCCGGCCGACCGCUGCGCUGCUCUACAACUGCCACGUCCACACACGAUGCACGGUGACGGCUGACCAGGCGGUGCUGGUCUCGGCCGCGACCGACGGCCAGCCCGCCCAGGAGCACCAGGUCGCCUCGCUCUCCUCAGCCUGGGUCUACUGGAAGGCGCUGCUGGCGCCGGCCCUGUGGGCCGG